ensembl:lncRNA
AUGCUGGUUGUCCUAAUUCUCUAUCAAGUGUCUCAAAAAAAGAGCCUUAAAGAAAUUCAAAGACUUAAAGCCGAAUCAGAGGAAAGUCAAGGCGUUGCUAACCACCACAGCAGACAUUUUUCUGUUUGUGAGGGACGGCAGUAUGGUUUCCUGGAAGCCAACAGCAAUCAUCAGCAACAGCUGAAGGAAGUCUCAACAUUUGAUGCAAGGACCCAAAUGUGGAACGGAGCUGAAGAGAACAGCAGCUACUACAAUGAGUUCAGGCCUAAUGCAAUGAGAAGAGAAAAUAGAAUGAAUGGAGGGAUAGAGACAGAGGAGGCUAGAGAGAGGAGGAAACUGAAGAUGAUGAUGAUGGAGGAGGAGAAAAGGAGAGCAGUGACUCAGCACAGUGUUUUAAAUACUCCAAACGGAACUGGAACAAAGGCCGGAGGUCAUGAGAACAUGCAUUGCGAUUACAGCUACAGGACGUAUAGACCACCAGAGCAGAAUGUGAGACAAGGUAGACAUGAUGGAUUUUCUUCCCGGCACAGACCAAAUGGCGGGGGGCACCAUUUUGACAUGAUGAAGAACGCAGACUUCAGGAGGGAAACAAGAAAAGUAACAUUUGAUCCUGAAAGUCUGAGAUUGCUCGAGCAGAGAAGCAGUUGGGAUGAGGAGCGAUAUGGAAGAAGAAGAAUGACCACGUCCAGGGACAAGGAGAGAAGACACAAAGCUCAAUCCAGUCGGCUACAUAAGGUCAAACUUCACUUAAACCCUCAACGAAAAAGCAAAAUCCAUCCAAGAAAGAAAAGUGAACAUCUGGAUGAUAGUAGCACCAGGAAGGAUAGAGAGAAGGAUGGACAUGCGAGAGAUGUGAGAGAAAGAAAAAGACAGAAAUUGGAGAAAUCUUCCAAGAGUGAAAGAUCAAAAGUAGAGGAAAAGACUGAGGAAGAGGGUGGCGAGGAGGAAGGAAAAAACGGUAAAUCAGUCUUAAAACGGAAGAAAACUACUUCUAAAACAAAGCAGGAGAAUAAAGAACAUACAGAGGAUGCUGAAGACAAAAGUGAAGCAGCAAAACAAGAGGAUUCACCACCAUCUGAUAGCACUAAUGCUGCUGAUAUCCCUGAACAACCACCAAACCUACAAGAUGUUCAGUAUCAAGGAACGGGAUCGUCUCAAGCCAGUGACCAAUUGUCCUCUCAGCUUUCUGUCACUCUUUCUAAUGCUGACACGACCUUCACACCUAGCGUCGCUCCAGCUGGACCUGCAGGUUCACACUUUAGCAGCAGCAGCUCCUCUCUUCAGGGAGGAAAUGCUUUGUUUAAUUCCUUAAACCUUGCAGCUAAUGCAAAGCCGUCCAGUGGACCAACUGUGUCUACUGUCAGUGCACUCAACAUGGGUACAAGGUUAGCUCUGGACAACCUUGGUAUACAAGCUGCUGUUGGUCCAGCAUACAAUGUUUCCUCUCUUCUUGCUAGCACUCAACAUGCAAACUCUUUACAAGAAAGUGCAAUCCACACGGUUCCUCCUCAUUCCUCCCAAACUGGGGGCUUUCCUUUGAACUUAGCAGCAAAUGCAGCAGGUAAUGCCACAACCUUUCAGUCUUCCCCUCAAAGCCAGUUAGCUCCUGAUAGCUCUCCUCUAGCUUUUAGAAUGAACCCUGAUCCUGGACAAGGAUAUACUGCUGCCGUUUUAGAGUUGCCACUCCUGGAAUCUGCUGAAUCUAUGUUAACCAGAGACACCCUACUUGUCGGAGAUCAAGGCAAUCCAUCAGAUGUGACCAAUCUAAAUACUGAAUCAGCCUCCACACUGGAGAAUAUGUCAAACAAUAACAGCCAGAGAUUUAUCCCACACAAUUCCGGUGUUCUUCCAAACCUUGGGUUUGGGGAAAGUCUGCCGGCUGACGGUGUCUCUGCACCUGUCACAUCCACACAAAGAACAUCUUCAUCUGGAGGCGCUCUGCUGCAGCAGGAGUAUCUGUCAGAGAAGGGAGGCUCCUCCCCAAGGAGAAAACUACGACUGGUGCUUCCGGAGAAAUCUCCCAGUCGUCCUCCCACUGCACUGGAACGGAAGAUACGCUAG